rnacentral:rRNA from 1 species
ACAGAAGAAGCACCGGCUAACUCCGUGCCAGCAGCCGCGGUAAUACGGAGGGUGCGAGCGUUAAUCGGAAUUACUGGGCGUAAAGGGCGAGUAGGCGGCAAAUUAAGUUAGAUGUGAAAUACCUAAUCUUAAAUUAGGAACUGCAUUUAAAACUAAUUUUCUAGAGUUUUGUAGGGGGGAGUAGAAUUCCAUGUGUAGCGGUGAAAUGCGUAGAGAUAUGGAAGAAUACCAGUGGCGAAGGCGACUCCCUGGACAAAAACUGACGCUGAUGCGCGAAAGCAUGGGUAGCAAACAGGAUUAGAUACCCUGGUAGUCCAUGCUGUAAACUAUGUCGAUUUGGAGGUUGUAAUGCAAAUAAAAUUAUGGCUUCCGUAGCUAACGCGUUAAAUCGACCGCCUGGGGAGUACGGUCGCAAGAUUAAAACUCAAAUGAAUUGACGGGGGCCCGCACAAGCGGUGGAGCAUGUGGUUUAAUUCGAUGCAACGCGAAAAACCUUACCUACUCUUGACAUCCAAAGUAGUAAACAGAGAUGUUUAUGUGCCUUAGGGAACUUUGAGACAGGUGCUGCAUGGCUGUCGUCAGCUCGUGUUGUGAAAUGUUGGGUUAAGUCCCGCAACGAGCGCAACCCUUAUCCUUUGUUGCCAUCGAUUAAGUCGGGAACUCAAAGGAGACUGCCGGUGAUAAAUCGGAGGAAGGAGAGGACGACGUCAAGUCAUCAUGGCCCUUACGAGUAGGGCUACACACGUGCUACAAUGGUAUAUACAGAGAGAAGCAAUCCUAUAAAGGGAAGCGGAACUCAGAAAGUAUAUCGCAGUCCAGAUUGGAGUCUGCAACUCGACUCCAUGAAGUCGGAAUCGCUAGUAAUCGCGAAUCAGCAUGUCGCGGUGAAUACGUUCUCGGGCCUUGUACACACCGCCCGUCACACCAUGGAAGUGAGUUGUAAAAGAAGCAAGUAGCUGAACCAAACGGACAGCACUUACCACUUUAUGAUUCAUAACUGGGGUGAAGUCGUAACAAGGUAACCGUAGGGGAACCUGUGGCUGGAUCACCUCCUUUCUA